AACAACACCAAAGAAAAGCCUCGGCAAAAUGUCCCUCCCACGAACUCAGAUGUCCACGCCAUAUUGAACUGAGACUGACAAUGAUACGGAUGAAGAUGAGGAUGCUAACCACAAGCACACGACCAGGUAAUCGUUCUUUUAUCACUCAUUUUCUGCUGAAAAGAAGUGAAUUUCAUUCUGAUGCUGAUAAUAAUGUUAGUGAUAUGGAGACUGAUUCAAACACGGUGCAAAUCUAGAACACUUAAGUCAGAGGAAGCAUUGGGUUACUUCAAUUCCAUGAUUCAAACGAAACCCAUUCCCUUUAAUUGGACUUUUAAAUGUUUGUUUGGGGCACUUUACAAGAUGAAGCAAUAUUCUGCCCUAGUAUCUAUGUAUAAACAGUUGAUGGGUUGUCAAUUCCAACCUGAUGUCACUGCAAUGAAUAUUUUCAUGAAUUGCUUGUGCCGUCUGAACAGGGUGGACUUGGGUUUCUCUGUCUUAGCACUUACCUUUAAAUAUGGUCUUGAGCCUGAUGCUUAUUCCCUGAAUGCUUUGCUUCAAGGGCUUUGCAAGAAUAGCGCCCUGUCUGAGGCAGUGGAGUUGUUCCGGAAAAUUGAAGAGAAAGAAUACCCAGAUGUUGUCACCUACAAUACUCUAAUUUAUGGAUUGUGCCAAUCAGGCAAGUGGGAAAAAGCCAAGAGCUUCUUGAUUUGCAUGGUUGACAGCGGAAUUCCACCAGAUGUAUAUACCUACGGUGUUCUAAUCAGUGCUCUUUGCAAAGAAGAAAGAAUUCAAGAAGCGCUUGCUCUGUUCGAAGACAUGACUGGGAAAGGCAUAAAUCCUGACGUUGUCAUUUUCAAUUCCUUAAUUUCUGCUUCAUGCAAAUGUUGCAAAUGGGAAGAAGCCGCACAGUUAUUUCAAAACAUGAUUGAUUGUGGUUCCUUGCCUGAUAUUGUAACAUUCAAUGCUGUGUUGGAUGCUUUCUGCAAUCAAGGGAAAACGGUAGAGGCACUUAAUCUUGUGGAAGAAAUGACCCGUAGAGAUCAAAUGCCUAAUCUUGUGACUUACAACUCCUUAAUUAAUGGAUUGUGCCAGUCUGGCCAAUGGAGAGAAGCCACAAAGUUGUUGAAUAAAAUGAUGGGUGAAAGAAUCCCACCAGGUGUUGUAACCCUUAACAUUGUUAUAAAAUAUCUUCGCAAGGACCGAAGGACCAAUGAAGCCCUCACUGUGCUAGAGCUAAUGGCUGAAGGAGGCCUAAAACCUGACGUUGUCACUUACAACUGUUUAAUACAUGGCAUGUGCCCUACAGCUCAAUCAGGAGAAGCCACAAGGUUGUUUGAUGAAAUGGUAGGUCGAGGGAUCUUACCUGAUGCUAUAACGUUGAGAACACUUUUGGAUGCUCUCUGCCAAGUAAGGAUGACAGAGGAGGCUCGCAAAGUAUUUGACGCAAAAAUUAAGUAUGGUAUGGAGCUUAGCACAAUAUCUUGCAGUAUGUUGAUAUUUCCUCCAGCUUUCUUCACAAGUAUGAUGCACGUGUUGGGUGUUUUCGGAUUGGAAUUUGGUUACCGUUUGAGUCUCGAACGGAUUUUGCCUAUGAUAUCAGACCUGAUUAGACGUCGUAGGGCAGUGAAGACUACGCAGAGUUCAGAGCCCCCGGCUCAGCCGACAGAUGUUGCCACUGCGCCAGCACUGAUGGACCACUUGGCAGUUGGUCCUGCGGGGUCCCAGGCGCCUGCUUCAUCAGCUUCAUCAGUGGCGCAGCCUGUUAGCUCCAGGCCGCAUCAUCGGCCCGCCAGCACCACAUCCAAUGAUGCCUCGGGGUCACAGCCAGGUUGCGGCUCGGAUAUAAGCAGUAUCUCCGAGAUCUGCAAGGAUUGCGACUUGGCCUGCGAAGAUUACGAUUUGGCCGGCGAGGAUUGCAGCUCGGAUAGAAGGGGUAUCUCUGAGACCUGCUCGGAUUGCGACCCGGCCUGCAAGGAUGGAAUUGACGGUAUUAAUGGAGUUGAUGGAUCAGGAUUAGAGUUAAGCCUAUGUGGAGCGAAUUUUAGUUCUGAGAUAUUCUUAAACUAA